AUGCUUUUCCUCUUGCAGCAUUUCUUCCUGCUGGCCACAGACUUAAUGCUCGCCAUGACCCUUUCCUGCCUCUUUUAUGCCUUCGUGUGCGUUUCCAUCGUGUUUCUGACCUGCUGCAUUAUCAUCUUCUCCUUUGGCACGGUGGAGAGGAGUGUUGAUAUGAAAGGGAGAGCAAUCGUAAUUCUUGUGUCCAACAGCUCCAUUGGGAGGAUGUUUGCAAGGAACCUGGAUAAAGCAGGUUUCGGGGUGUCUGCUGCACAAUGGUCUGCUCAGGAGGAGAGGACAGUGACAGAAGAGUGCUCAUCGAACAAGGAGGUAGCCCAGUUCCACCUGACUGAAGAUGAGUAUCAGAAGACAGUGAAAACCUUCAUAGAAAGCCACUUAUCCCUGAAAGGCAUAUAUGGGAAGAUGAGGAAGCCAUCGAUCCUGAUAUGGGAUGAAGGGGCACCAGACAAACAUGGCUUACCUGAGAGAAAAGCUUCCUGUGAGGGGAAGAAGGCUUUCAAGGCUCCACACAGGAACUGCUUACUGCAGACAGCUCUCUACAUCUCUAUCCUCUGUCAUCCACUGACCUGUCUCCUGAGUCUCCUGAAGAGAAGCCCACAGCUGCUUGUCCCUCUGCUGAAGUCCAAAAACUGAGAGGUGAGGCAGCACCCUCACAGCUCAGGUACCUGCCAGAGCCAGGAAGGAAACCCACGGAGCUCUACACAUUAGCACUGUCACACCACCACGAACAAAAGGAGCAUAGCUGGGAUCAGAAGUGACAAACUCCUGGCAGCAGGGGAUUAUGAGCAGUGACUUCAAUUGCAAGACAACAAAAAACUGUGGAUGAAGACAGAAAACACCUUCAGAACCAUGGCACUGGACUGCAACUCCCUUGCAAGUCUAAUCUGUAAGGAAGAGAACACCAAGAUGCUGAAAUUUUGGGUUGUUCAUUACAAUGCUGUACUGUGCACACUGGGGUAUGUACAGAGGAAAAAACAUCUGAGGUGAAAGGAAAUAAAGGAAGAUCUGUGCUGGGAAGCAAAACGCUAGGGCUUGGUUUUCAUUAUCUAAAGCCACAACUCAGAACUGCUUGACUGAUGAUAAGAGAUGUCACCCUCCCAGGGAGGAAAAGGAAAGCUUUCAAAACAGCUUCUGUAAGACAUUAAACCAGCUUAAUAUCAAAUCAGACUGAAAACAAACAUUUUAAUUCUGUGACAUCAAAGUACUGAGAGAGAACAUGUUAAAGCAGAAAAUUCCUGAAUUAAAAGCUUGAGGUUUUAGUCUUUACACAUUUGGCAAAUAACCAGUUACAUGAAUUAUGCCAAACUCAUGUAUUCUGCAGAACAUCCCAGGAAAUGUUUCCUUUAGUCAGAACCCUGCUCUGAGCCAGUGUUGUCAACUCCCUCAGUGCAAAAUCCCAUUCUGUGCACAUAACCCUGUACAAUUUCAGCUGAUUUUUUUUUUUUUCUCCUCCAAAAUGUGGCAGGGGACAUGUGUGGGCUGCUGCAUGGCUACUGCUGCUCUCCCAAAGUGACCUUCAAGCAAAGGAUGCUGCCUGCUUGUGCACACUGUAGUAUUCAUGGUCUGAAAUUAGAGACAUUAUGUGAGCAAAGCUCCUGAAGACCUCAGUGGAUGUUUUGCUGGCCUGAGACUCGGGAAUGGCCUACAUUUGUUUAUAAAGCUUUCCAGUCCAUUGGGAUACAGGGAACUACUGUGUGCAAGCUUAAAAUUAUGACUGUGAGGCAAUACCACCAUGAGAUAAAUCAUAAUAUAGCUGCACUUAAAAGCAUGUUUAACACAAAUUAGUUAUAUCAAACUAACACCAAAGUUAUAGAUUGCUGAAGCUGACUAAGGGAUCUGAAUGCCCAGAUGCUUUUAAUUUGAGUGGGAAUGAGGGAUUUGAAUUCCUUAAAUAGUGUUGAAUGUUUCAUCACUAACAUAUAACAGAAAAAUUAAAGCAACUGGCUUUUCAAGCCUACAAACCUGGCCAAAAGAUCCUGGCAACAUCUUUAGACAUAUCUCCCCAAGCAUACAGCCAUUAAAAUUAGAGAUUCAGAAAAUCCUGAAAGUAUUCCAAGUCUUGAUGAAUGUUUUCAGAAAAAAACCAGCAUUUCCAACAUGUUUUUCAAUAAGUCACUUUGAUCCAUUUAAUAAAAAUGUAAUUGGGCUAUGAAAGUCUGCUAAAAUAAAAAUGGAUUUAGCACCAAAUUCUAUGUCAUGCAACUCAGCACAGAAAUAACUGAUCACCCAAGACCUGUUCUUUCACCUCAAUCUCAACUGCAAUACUUCCAUAUUUUGAACCUUCUUAAGAAAGCACAGAAUUGGACUUCAAACAUAACAGAUUUUCCUGGGCAGCACUGUAAAAUGAUUUCCCAACAGAACUGAAAUGUUAGUGGUGAUGGAGAACCACAGGGAAGCUGGUUACAUGAAAGCAUCCUUCUAUCACUUCAAAUUAUGUUAGUAACUAAUCUACAAGCCAAUAUUAUUUCUUUAUAGAUGUCUGCAUACCUGUCAAAAGAUAGGAAGAGAGCAUCCCCUUGGGUUAAUACUCUCCAGCAUUGUCACUCCCUUAGUAGCAGUCUCUCCCUAUUUUUGGGGACACUUUUCUCCUGACUUUCCUCUCCUGAGCAGGGGUCAGACACACAAACAGCUCCACUGAAGUUAGAGCACCUCACACUGAAUAUUGGGAGGUGUUUCAGACACCUGAGGAGAGAGAUUUCCCUUCAUGUGUUUACUGUAUUCAGGGAAGAACAGAGGGACAAGAAGCCAGGGAAGCAAAAUAAUGAUUAGUGUAAUGGGAUUUGCUAUUCUUGUUAAUAGUUUAAUCAAUAUAAACAUAUACAGAACCCUCUGACGUGCCUGCCAUGCUCAAGUGUCUCUAUAAUUAGCUCAAUACUCUUAAGCCAUGGUUAG
rnacentral:lncRNA from 12 species